CUACGGGCGGCUCCAGUCGAGAAUCAUUCGCAAUGCACGAAAGUGUGACGAUGCGACGCCGCGUGGAGGAUGACGGCCUUCGGGUUGUAAACUCCUGUCAGCAGGGAGCAACGCUUCGUCGGGUAAUACCUGAUGAAUUUGAUAGUACCUGCAGAGGAAGUCACGGCUAACUCUGUGCCAGCAGCCGCGGUAAUACAGAGGUGGCAAGCGUUAAUCGGAAUUACUGGGCGUAAAGGGUCCGUAGGCGGCCUGGUGUGUCGGGUGUGAAAUGCCACAGCUCAACUGUGGAAUGGCACUCGAAACUGCCGGGCUAGAGUUCUGGAGGGGAGAAGGGAACAGUUAGUGUAGCGGUGAAAUGCGUAGAUAUUAACUGGAACACCGGUGGCGAAGGCGCUUCUCUGGACAGAUACUGACGCUCAUGGACGAAAGCUAAGGGAGCGAAAGGGAUUAGAUACCCUUGUAGUC
rnacentral:rRNA from 1 species